GACGAACGCUGGCGGCGUGCUUAACACAUGCAAGUCGAACGGAGUUUCAUAGACAGAAGCCUUCGGGUGGAAGACUAUGCGACUUAGUGGCGGACGGGUGAGUAACACGUGGGUAACCUGCCCCAUAAACUGGGACAACAGUUGGAAACGACUGCUAAUACCGGAUACUCUCGCGAGGAGGCAUCUCUUUGCGAGGAAAGGUGGCCUCUGCUUCAAGCUACCGAUAUGGGAUGGACCCGCGUCUGAUUAGCUAGUUGGUAGGGUAACGGCCUACCAAGGCGACGAUCAGUAGCCGGCCUGAGAGGGUGACCGGCCACAUUGGGACUGAGACACGGCCCAA
rnacentral:rRNA from 1 species